rnacentral:rRNA from 1 species
UACGAAGGGUGCAAGCGUUACUCGGAAUCACUGGGCGUAAAGCGUGCGUAGGCGGUUUCUUAAGUCUGUCGUGAAAGCCCUGGGCUCAACCUGGGAACGGCGAUGGAUACUGGGAAGCUAGAAUGUGAGAGAGGAUGGUGGAAUUCCCGGUGUAGCGGUGAAAUGCGUAGAGAUCGGGAGGAACACCAGUGGCGAAGGCGCCUUCCUGGCCUGUAACUGACGCUGAUACGCGAAAGCGUGGGGAGCAAACCGG